UAGGGGUCAGGAUUCAGUAUCCAGCAUUUGGAGGGUUACAACCGGGCCUGAAACAGAGCAGAGGUUUGUGCUCUUGUCACACUCCAAGGCCCAGUGAUGAGGGAUGUGGCCAGUGAGGGCCUUCAGGUGAAAAGGCUGGUGGCAUGAUGUCUCUUUCUCCAGGUCUUUGAACAUUCUCGAGGGACCCAGAACCCAUUCUCCAGAACAUGAAAGGGGCCCUUCCUUACCACACCUUCCAACUGGAUGGGAUAAUUAGAGGGUGUGAAUACUAGGAGAAAAACUAGUUGGAAGAAUGGACAGAACUUGGCAGCUGGCCCCACUCCACUUAACCUAGUGGGAACCAUUUCUGUGGAUGAACAAGGCCAUCUGUCUUGUGUUGGGUUUUCAUGAAUGAACAGGUGUAUUACCAACUACAUUUCA